GAUCCUGGCUCAGGAUGAACGCUAGCUACAGGCUUAACACAUGCAAGUCGAGGGGCAGCAUGAACUUAGCUUGCUUUUUCUAGGCGUCGACCGGCGCACGGGUGAGUAACACGUAUCCAACCUGCCGUCUACUCUUGGACAGCCUUCUGAAAAGGGAAGAUUAAUACAAGAUGGCAUCAUGAGUCCGCAUGUUCACAUGAUUAAAGGUAUUCCGGUAGACGAUGGGGAUGCGUUCCAUUAGCUUGUUGGCGGGGUAACGGCCCACCAAACCGACGAUGGAUAGGGGUUCUGAGAGGAAGGUCCCCCACAUUGGUACUGAGACACGGACCAAACUCCUACGGGAGGCAGCAGUGAGGAAUAUUGGUCAAUGGCCGAGAGGCUGAACCAGCCAAGUCGCGUGAAGGAAGAAGGAUCUAUGGUUUGUAAACUUCUUUUAUAGGGGAAUAAAGUGGAGGACGUGUCCUUUUUUGUAUGUACCCUAUGAAUAAGCAUCGGCUAACUCCGUG
rnacentral:rRNA from 1 species